GGGUCAAGGAGGAGCGGGGAUUAGUUCUAGGGGCUGUAGGAGGGUGACAGUCCUGGACUGAAGGUCACCUGCUUGGCUCUGAUGAUUU